rnacentral:tRNA from 1 species
GAUGAUGUGCCUGAUAAAAGGAUUACUGUGAUAGAGUAAAUUAUGUAACACCAAUUACCUUCCUCA